AGACAUCUAAUAUUCCAUCAAAUACUCAAGGACAUAGUAUUUCAAAUAAUCAAUCCAAUAAUUCCGAAAUAUUGAACCUAUUAAGAAAAAGUUUUGACAAUAUGAAUGAGAUGAUGACAAAAUUGAUCGCCAAGGGGCAAAAAUUAAGAAAUGAAAUAUCUAUUUUUAAGGGACGAGUUUGAGGAGAGACGCAUAAGGCGAAAUUGAUGUUGCCAAGUUCACCAAACGCUACUCUUGGGGACUUUGAGGCAUUUGAAGAAUGUCUUAAAGAUGAGAAGUCCUUCAAGAAUUUGUCGCAAGUUCUUAGAAAAUUUAAGACAAAUUCAUCAGGAGCUCCUGGCGCCAGUUAGUUAGAGACGAUGUUGCAAAACAAUGCUCCUGGUGUGGGGCGGAGAAAAAAAUGUGCGUUAGAGGCCUUCCAAUGCUUUUAAAAGCAAGCUUGCCUGGAGGACGACGAUUUCGACUGCGUAACACAGAAAUAUUUUGAAUACAGGAAAGAGUGGCGCUCUUAGAAAAAUCUGAUGCCAAA